GUCAGCAGUUUAUUUUCAGAAAGAACUUUUACAGGAAAUCUUCUAGUUUCAACUGUUUCGUUGCCCAGUUCCAUGAUUUCAGUAAAAAGGGAACUUCACCGUUGCAAGUGUGAGUCUUAAAAGACGAACGACACAACUCACGACUCAGACCUUGACCCACAACGUCGGAGGCUUGUUUGAUCAUGACUGUCAUUGACGCUUGUGUUGCUGUAAACUCCACAUGCUCGACCUCCGGCUCCUCUGUAGGUCUUGCCACGGGGUUGACACUCUUCUUUCUACUCCUUAUAAUCGUAGCUGGUGUAUUUGCAUACAAAUACCGCAGCAGAAUCACGGAUAUGUUGCAGUUUGUACGUAGAAGAAGCGAGAAGAAUGAGGACUAUGUGGAGACACCAGAAGCUGAUGCCCAUCAGUUUUUGAACAGAGAACAGUCAACAACACAGAUACCAAUUUAUGAAAACCUGACAACUCAAACUUCUGGAUGCAGCAGGCAUCCAGUAAACAAGAGCAGGUUGUCCGGUGAACCUGAAGAGGAUUUGUAUUUGCAGUGUGAUUUACCUCAUACAGAUGAUGCAAUAUACAACAAUGAUCCGGCUUGCGAGCUCUCCAUCGUCCCAGACUGCCAAGAAGAAGAAGACGUGUAUAUUGUGCCAGAUUCAUGAUAGAAUACCCUCUUCAUGUUUCAUGUAUUUACUGCAUUGCUUGUAGUAUAAAUGUACAUUUUUACAACACAGCUACUUUUUGAUCAGGUUGACCUGUAAACAAUACAUUGCGUAUGUCCUAUUUACUCAGUUGUGGGGAGGAAUAAUAGACUAUUAGAGUAUUUUUAGCUGUUUUUACACUGGUACUGUUUUUGUUUGGGUUUUUUUGGCACAAUUUAUUCCAGAUCACCCACUGUAAAAAUUACUGUUUCUUGAGAGUUCAAGGCAAUUAAAUUGUUGAUAAGACCUGA